AUACGGAGGAUCCGAGCGUUAUCCGGAUUUAUUGGGUUUAAAGGGAGCGUAGGUGGACAGUUAAGUCAGUUGUGAAAGUUUGCGGCUCAACCGUAAAAUUGCAGUUGAUACUGGCUGUCUUGAGUACAGUAGAGGUGGGCGGAAUUCGUGGUGUAGCGGUGGAAUGCUUAGAUAUCACGAAGAACUCCGAUUGCGAAGGCAGCUCACUGGACUGCAACUGACACUGAUGCUCGAAAGUGUGGGUAUCAAACAGGAUUAGAUACCCUGGUAGUCCACACAGUAAACGAUGAAUACUCGCUGUUUGCGAUAUACAGUAAGCGGCCAAGCGAAAGCAUUAAGUAUUCCACCUGGGGAGUACGCCGGCAACGGUGAAACUUAAAGGAAUUGGCGGGG
rnacentral:rRNA from 1 species